AAAUUUCCAAUCAGAAUUUUCAUAACAGCAAUAUAUAUCUGGAUACCUUGAUAUAAUAUAUCCUUUUAUAGAAUUAAAAAUACUGAGAUUAGGAACUAUUGACGUUAUAAACUAUAUUGUUAUUGAUCAAAAAAUAAAAUAAACUGUUAUGGCGUUAUUAAAUACUGCUUGGCACUUUCAUUUGUUUGAUUCUUUUUCGGAUAUACAUAUUUUUCAUCACUGUUAUUUUACCAGUUAGUAUACAAACCCAAAUCAUCUCGUGGCACAGUUUGAUAUGUAUCCGCAGGCAUUGGUUGAAUAUUAAAAAAAUCAAAUGCUGUGGCAAAUUAUAAAAUUUAAAAAAAUGCAAGAUUGAUUCAUAUCUAUUCAUGCUAGAAGGAGGAGUAUGCAAUUAUUACAAGAUUCAAGCAUAUAAAAGUAAACAAAAGAUAUUAUACGCAAUAUGGUGUCAAUCAACAGAUGAAAAACUUGACAUACAUAUUUACUUAAAUACAAAGGCUGAUUCAUAAAAAUAAAAAUAUCAGCCACUAUUUACUGCAAACCAUGGCCCAUAGACAACUUUAUGGAGAAUAUAACAGACAAAUUGAAAAGUACUACAUAAUAAAGUAUUUUAAAAAUUAAA